UCAGCGCUCACGUCCUGGCGCUAGGGUUUCCUCGCGGCGGCUCAGGUUCUCACAUCGAUGGGAUUGCGCCCGGAAGCCUGAAUCCAUUCUCCGAUGGAUUAUGUGCUGAUAAGAGAGAUGUAGCGGAGGAUGGGGUGUAUUUGCUGGACUCAAGCCGAUCUCACAGCCGCCGAGGAAGUGCAGGCUGCCGCGGAUUGGAGUUUGUCCUUAGUUCAGCAAGUUUCUGAGACUGAUAAUCUCCAAGAGAUCUUUCACAGAGUUCUAAUUCAAGGAGAGGUGGCACACCCCAUAUUUAAGAAGAUUUGGAAAUCAGCAGUGAUUCAGCGAUACCAAAUUUUACUGUUGGUUUCUGAUCCAAGAUAGGCUCAGCACAAGAAGUCUGCUUCUCAGGAAAUCAUUUCACCUCCCCUCCUACCAAUAUGUGCUAUGUAAUGAGCAAAUUGAGACCACAUUGCACCUCUUUUUGGACUGCUCAUUUGCUCUACAAUGCUGGCACCUGAUCACUCCUAAUAAGAAGAGGGACAGAUCUGUCAUUCAGGAAAUCAUGCUGGCUUUGAAUGAAUUACCAAAUGGAGUGGCCAUGAACAUUGUCAUUAUGAGUUGCUGGCAUAUUUGGAUGCAAGGGAACAACAAGAUCUUUAAGCAUAUUAAUCCAAUCACCACAUAAUGGAAGCUGCUACGCAAGAAAGAUUUACAGUUGCUACAUCAUAGAAUUAGGCACUAGCUCCUUCAAGUUUUUCAAGACUGCAUUGCCACACGUUUGUACUCUGAAAGAUCCUUGAGUUAGAUGGGCUUGCCAUCUCCUUUUCUUUUU